rnacentral:lncRNA from 1 species
UUAUGCUUCCGCUACUGAUACUAUGUUUUUCGUAAAACCUCAUUCAAUACAAUUGAUGUUUCAAAACAAACAUAGUAUCAGUAGCGGAAGCAUAAGUGAAUAACCCAAGUAAACCAUAAGUUCAAUUAUUCGAAAUGUUUAAACAUAGCGUUCAUAAUCCACUGCCCACAACGUCCCGCUCCUCCAGUGCAAGCUCCAUAAGUACCUAAG